rnacentral:rRNA from 1 species
UGGGGUAUAUUGCACAAUGGGGGAAACCCUGAUGCAGCGACGCCGCGUGAACGAAGAAGGUAUUCGUAUCGUAAAGUUCUGUCCUAUGGGAAGAUAAUGACAGUACCAUAGAAGAAAGCUCCGGCUAAAUACGUGCCAGCAGCCGCGGUAAUACGUAUGGAGCGAGCGUUGUCCGGAAUUAUUGGGCGUAAAGGGUACGCAGGCGGUUUAAUAAGUCGAAUGUUAAAGAUCGGGGCUCAACCCCGUAAAGCAUUGGAAACUGAUAAACUUGAGUAGUGGAGAGGAAAGUGGAAUUCCUAGUGUAGUGGUGAAAUACGUAGAUAUUAGGAGGAAAACCAGUAGCGAAGGCGACUUUCUGGACACAAACUGACGCUGGGGUACGAAAGCGUGGGGAGCGAACAGG